rnacentral:misc_RNA from 1 species
UCGUGCAACGGAGGCGUAAGGGCUGUCGCUGACCUUCAAAGGUCGUGCACGCUCGAGCGCUCUCUCACAUCCAUCUCACCCACCCCCCUUUGUGCAUCACCGCGUGGGCCCCUCUCUUUGCGGAGAGGGUCUGCGUUUUCACAUAAAAACUCUAAUGUCGUGUAUAGAAUGUCUUUUUCGUGGUCACACGCGAUCAAUA